AACAGGACAGAAGCUACAGGCUACUGAAGCUAACCGCGAAAAGUUUGAAUGAACAUUUCCAAGAGAGGUGUAGUCAGUGAAUGCAGCACCAUACAGACAGUGAUGGGGAUGAGCCACAGUGACCUGAACACCACAUGGACUAUGAAAGGAAUGACACUUCCGGUGUUAGAAUGGGCCGUCAUAUUAGAUGUUUUGCUGCCUCUGUGGAUGAGGUGAUGGAGAUGGAGGAACAUCAUACAGAACUGAUAACAACUCCAUCUCUGUGCUGACGCUGCUGGAUUUUCUGCCUGGGUGGAUGAAAUCCUGGAAAUGGAGGACCAUCAUACAGACCUGCUGAAGCUGCUGGGUUUGGAUGGCAGCGGCUGGCCUUUGACUCAAGUUAUGUUAUUUCUUGCCUCUGUGGGUAAGAAAUAACAUUUCUUGGGUCUGGAAUAGGGGGGUGCAGAAGUGUUUUUUUCACCUGUUUCAAUUAAAAAAAAAAUAAUUGUG